GCCUACUUGGUCUAGUAGCUAUGAUUCCCGCUUUGGGCUUUGAGAAAAGCGUAAAAUGCGGGAGGUCCCAGGUUCAAAUCCUGGAGUGGGCC